AUGCUUCUUCGGAUCUCUUCUUACUCAAUUUGUAGUUCCCUUUCUGGCCCAGCUUUUCCAUGUGAUAACGGCACACACAUAUAUCUGAUCAUAUGUGUGGUCAACCAUGUGGAAAUAAGCAAUCAUCCACGCUUUCUUACACAACAAGGCACAGAACACCACCCAGAGACCCAGAAUAAAUCCCAGAGUGAGUCCAAAAUAAAAGGUCAUUGGCUCAAAGGAAUGUCCAUUCAUUUUCUGAUCGCCUUGCAUUGUUACAUUCUUUCCAGGGCAACUGUUUGGAAGAGGAGAUCCACAAAGACCACUGUUGCCACUGUACAUGGAAGGUUGCUCAUUGUAGAGGGUGUCAAGCUGACGUCCUGA
rnacentral:rRNA from 1 species